GACGAACGCUGGCGGCGUGCUUAACACAUGCAAGUCGAACGGAAAGGCCCUGCUUGCAGGGUGCUCGAGUGGCGAACGGGUGAGUAACACGUGGGUGAUCUGCCCCUUACUUUGGGAUAAGCCUGGGAAACUGGGUCUAAUACUGGAUAGGACCAUGCUGUAGGGGGUGUGGUGGAAAGAUUAGUUUCGGUAAGGGAUGAGCUCGCGGCCUAUCAGCUUGUUGGUGGGGUAAUGGCCUACCAAGGCGUCGACGGGUAGCCGGCCUGAGAGGGUGGACGGCCACAUUGGGACUGAGAUACGGCCCAGACUCCUACGGGAGGCAGCAGUGGGGAAUAUUGCACAAUGGGCGCAAGCCUGAUGCAGCGACGCCGCGUGGGGGAUGACGGCCUUCGGGUUGUAAACGCCUUUCAGCCAUGACGAAGCCCUUGUGGUGACGGUAGUGGUAGAAGAAGCACCGGCUAACUACGUG
rnacentral:rRNA from 1 species